AGUGUCUGGUCUUCUUGUUACUUCUUGCAUCAGCUUACCUGAUCUGCUUUAUGAUCCCGUCAUCUGCUCAGUAUUCUGGAUUCCCCACGAACCGGCAAAUCAAGGACAGUGUUACUGCUCAGCUAAGACUCAGCUAGAGUAACAGAACUAUUAUCACUUACCUGUGAUCAUCGCUUUCUCCUCUAAAGCCUCUCUGUUGUGGAUAUUUACCUGUGUUGUCUCCUUCUGUGUGCUGACCCUCCUCCUGUUUGCCCUCCUUAAUAUGUUACUGGAGCCUUUUCCAAUAUCGGACUCUCAUCACUUAAGCCAAGAGCGAGUGAGAAAGAGAGAUGGGAGGAGGAGAUGUGAAGAGAGCGAGACAGUCUCUAUUUACAUCUGGCUGAACAUCAGGUUAGAUCACCUCCAUAUGUACACCCUACUUUGCUUAAAACCGGUUGAUCUUCUGAACAUCUUUCAAGGAUUGAAUUUAAGUAUACAAAUAUAUUUAAUAUUAGAAAUAAACAAUUGUUUUGUGUUUCUAAAGCAGCGUGUAUGUAAACUUUACGUUUUGCAUGCUGUUGAUGCAUCCUAGUUCAGCAUACAUAUAUCCAGAUGUACUUGUGGAGAUGCGUUGCUGCAUGUUGUUGUUGUUGCGAGGUCUGGGACACAGGCUUCUGGCGCUGCAUGUACUUCAUUAAACUUUGUUGCAUCAUUUUAUCAUAGACGUCUCUGCAAUCAUGCAAAGCACACACGUUAUAUGAGGCACUGCAUGAUUAAUACUAGGGCAAGUUGUGUGUGUGUGUGUGUGUGUGUGUGUGUGUGUUUAUGUGUGCCACUUCGCUCCUUACUGUUUCACAUUACCUAAAUCAGCAAAUAAAACCUGGUCUUAACAGAGGCACACAAAUCAACAACAUGAACAUGUACGAUAAAAUCAUCCAAUCCAGUUCUGGUGAGCGGCCCCUUCUAACACUGAGUUUUCCUGGGAGACCUUCAUUCAGCCAGACACAAUGGAACUGAGCCAUGGCUGGCACUGAGGCAGAAACCAGAUACUCAUCAAACCUCCCGAGCACCUCUCACUUUCUCCCCACUCUCAGCUACAUGCCUAUAGUUACAUAGUGUAUACUUUUUUUUUAACACAUUUAAGAC
rnacentral:lncRNA from 1 species